rnacentral:rRNA from 1 species
UUCCGGUUGAUCCUGCCGGACCUUACUGCUAUCGGGGUGGGACUAAGACAUGCAAGUCGAGCGUCUCUAGCUAUGUUGAGACGCGGCAGACGGCUCAGUAACACGUGGCUAACCUACCCUCAGGACGAGGAUAAACCCGGGAAACUGGGGCUAAUACUCGAUAGGUGAGAAUGUCUGGAAUGAUUUCUCAUUCAAAGGGCUUUAGAAACAUGCUUCUAAAGUCGCCUGGGGAUGGGGCCGCGUCCGAUCAGGUUGUUGGUGAGGUAACGGCUCACCAAGCCUAUAACCGGUACGGGCCGUGAGAGCGGUAGCCCGGAGAUGGGUACUGAGACAAGGACCCAGGCCCUACGGGGCGCAGCAGUCGCGAAAACUCCGCAAUGCACGAAAGUGUGACGGGGCUACCCCGAGUGCCAUCCGCUGAGGAUGGCUUUUCUUUGGUGUAACUAGCCGGGGGAAUAAGGAGAGGGCAAGACUGGUGUCAGCCGCCGCGGUAAUACCAGCUCUCCGAGUGGUAGGGAUGAUUAUUGGGCUUAAAGCGUCCGUAGCCGGCUUAGCAAGUCUCCUGUUAAAUUCAGCGACCUAAUCGUUGAGCCGCGGGAGAUACUACUAGGCUAGGAGGCGGGAGAGGUCGACGGUACUUCUGGGGUAGGGGUGAAAUCCUAUAAUCCCGGGAGGACCACCAGUGGCGAAGGCUGUUGACUAGAACGCGCUCGACGGUGAGGGACGAAAGCUGGGGGAGCGAACCGGAUUAGAUACCCGGGUAGUCCCAGCCGUAAACGAUGCGGGCUAGGUGUUGGGGUGGCUACGUGCCACUUCAGUGCCGCAGGGAAGCCAUUAAGCCCGCCGCCUGGGGAGUACGGCCGCAAGGCUGAAACUUAAAGGAAUUGGCGGGGGGAGCACCACAAGGCGUGAAGCUUGCGGUUCAAUUGGGAAUCAACGCCGGU